GAUGAAGAACGUAGCGAAAUGCGAUAAGUAAUGUGAAUUGCAGAAUUCAGUGAAUCAUCGAAUCUUUGAACGCACAUUGCGCCCGCUAGUAUUCUGGCGGGCAUGCCUGUUCGAGCGUCAUUUCAACCAUCAAGCCCCCGGCUUGUGUUGGGGACCUGCGGCUGCCGCAGGCCCUGAAAACCAGUGGCGGGCUCGCUAGUCACUCCGAGCGUAGUAAUACAUCUCGCUCAGGGCGUGCUGCGGGUUCCGGCCGUUAAAAAGCCUUAUUUACCCAAGGUUGACCUCGGAUCAGGUAGGAAGACCCGCUGAACUUAAGCAUAUCAAAAGCGGAGGA
rnacentral:misc_RNA from 1 species